rnacentral:rRNA from 1 species
AACCAGCACCUCAAGUGGUCAGGAUGAUUAUUGGGCCUAAAGCAUCCGUAGCCGGCUCUGUAAGUUUUCGGUUAAAUCUGUAUGCUUAACGUACAGGCUGCCGGAAAUACUGCAUAGCUAGGAAGUGGGAGAGGUAGACGGUACUCGGUAGGAAGGUGUAAAAUCCUUUGAUCUAUUGAUGACCACCUGUGGCGAAGGCGGUCUACCAGAACACGUACGACGGUGAGGGAUGAAAGCUGGGGGAGCAAACCGGAUUAGAUACCCGGGUAGUCCCAGCUGUAAACUAUGCAAACUCAGUGAUGCAUUGGCUUGUGGCCAAUGCAGUGCUGCAGGGAAGCCGUUAAGUUUGCCGCCUGGGAAGUACGUACGCAAGUAUGAAACUUAAAGGAAUUGGCGGGGGAGCACCACAAGGGGUGAAGCCUGCGGUUCAAUUGGAGUCAACGCCAGAAAUCUUACCCGGAGAGACAGCAGAAUGAAGGUCAAGCUGAAGACUUUACCAGACAAGCUGAGAGGUGGUGCAUGGCCGUCGCCAGCUCGUGCCGUGAGAUGUCCUGUUAAGUCAGGUAACGAGCGAGAUCCCUGCCUCUAGUUGCCACCAUUACUCUCAGGAGUAGUGGGGCGAAUUAGCGGGACCGCCGCAGUUAAUGCGGAGGAAGGAAGGGGCCACGGCAGGUCAGUAUGCCCCGAAACUCUGGGGCCACACGCGGGCUCCAAUGGUAACGCCAAUGGGUUUCGAAUUCGAAAGGAUGAGGUAAUCCUCAAACGCUACCACAGUUAUGACUGAGGGCUGCAACUCGCCCUCACGAAUAUGGAAUCCCUAGUAACUGCGUGUCACUAUCGCGCGGUGAAUACGUCCCUGCUCCU